rnacentral:rRNA from 1 species
UACGGAGGAUGCAAGUGUUAUCCGGAAUCAUUGGGCGUAAAGCGUCUGUAGGUGGUUCGAAAAGUCCACUGUUAAAAAUUGAGGCUUAACUUCAAAGAUGCCGUGGAAACUUUCAAACUAGAGUAUGGUAGGGGUAGAGGGAAUUUCCAGUGGAGCGGUGAAAUGCGUAGAUAUUGGAAAGACCACCGAUGGCGAAGGCGCUCUACUGGGCCACUACUGACACUGAGAGACGAAAGCGAGGGGAGCAAAUGGG